UGAAGCUGGAAUCGCUAGUAAUCGCGGAUCAGAAUGCCGCGGUGAAUACGUUCCCGGGUCUUGUACACACCGCCCGUCACACCAUGGGAGUCGGAAAUGCCCGAAGUCUGUGACCCAACCUUAGGGAGGGAGCAGCCGAAGGCAGGUCGGAUGACUGGGGUGAAGUCGUAACAAGGUACC
rnacentral:rRNA from 1 species